rnacentral:tRNA from 1 species
GAAGCGGUAAGCUCAGUCUGGUAGAGCUUGGCGGCAGCCAGGUCGGGGGUUCGAAUCCUUCCCAAUUCC